AUACACCUUGUCGUAAUAUAUGAAGUCUUGCUUGAGAAUGCUCUGGGCACCUGGCUGUGGAAGAUAGAAUGGAAAUUACAACAACAAAAUUCUAAUUCUAAUAGAAUACUAAUAAUGCUAAAUAAAAUUUAAUCAAAUUCAAAAAAAACCUCUAAGAAAUUUUAAAGAAAUAUUAGAAUGAUCAUAAGUAUAUCUCAAAUACAUCUCAAUUCAAUUUUAAUUUAAUUCUAGUUAAAAUCCUAUUGGACUUUAUUCAAACUUUAGGCCAAAACUAAUUAAAUCUUAAAUCCUAAAAAAUCCUAAUAAAAUCCUAAAUCCUAAAUCAAACCCUAAAUCCUAAACCAAAUCCUUACCAAAUCCUAAAUCAAACCCUAAAUCCUAAACCAAAUCCUUACCAAAUCCUAAACCAAAUUUUAUCCAAAUCCUAAACAAAAUUCUAUCUAAAUUCUAAACAAAUCUUAAACCAAAUCCCAACCAAAUCCUAAACCAAAUCCUAACUAAAUCCUAAACCAAACUCCAACCAAAUCUUAAACUUAACCCUAAACUCUAAAUCAAAUCCUAACCAAAUCCUAAACCAAAUCCUAAAUAAAUCCUAAAUAAAUCCUAAACCCUAAAUUAAAUCCUAAAUCAAAUCUUAAAUCAAAUCCUAAAUCCUAAAUCAGACCCUAACCAAAUCCUAAUCCUAAAUCAAAUCCUAACCAAACUCUAAACUCUAAACCAAAUUCUAACCAAACUCUAAACUCUAAACCAAACCCUAACCAAAUCCUAGUAAUUUCUACAAAAGAUUUAAACCUCAAUAACUAAUGAAUGAACCGUUGAUCUUAAUUCAAAUUUUGCAUACUUCUUAAAAACUAAGUUGAAAAAAAUCACAAAUUUUUUGAAAAGGAUCGAAAUUACCAAAUAGACGAUAACCUCAAAAACAUGCUCGGGUAUUGGUCGGCCUCCUUCUCCAACCUUGAUGCCAAUCUUCCAAAGCCAAUAUCUCUCUUUUUUACUAUUCGAUUGAUUUUAAAAUUCUCAAACAUAUAGAAAAACA
rnacentral:lncRNA from 1 species